GACGAACGCUGGCGGCGUGCUUAACACAUGCAAGUCGAACGGAAAGGCCCCUUCGGGGGUACUCGAGUGGCGAACGGGUGAGUAACACGUGAGUAACCUGCCCUUGACUUCGGGAUAACUUCAGGAAACUGGGGCUAAUACCGGAUAGGAAUCCUUGCUGCAUGGUGGGGGUUGGAAAGCUUCGGCGGUGUUGGAUGGACUCGCGGCUUAUCAGCUUGUUGGUGGGGUAGUGGCUUACCAAGGCUUUGACGGGUAGCCGGCCUGAGAGGGCGACCGGCCACAUUGGGACUGAGGUACGGCCCAGACUCCUACGGGAGGCAGCAGUGGGGAAUAUUGCACAAUGGGCGGAAGCCUGAUGCAGCGACGCCGCGUGCGGGAUGACGGCCUUCGGGUUGUAAACCGCUUUCAGCAGGGGCGAAGCUUGUGGUGACGGUACCUGCAGAAGAAGCACCGGCUAACUACGUG
rnacentral:rRNA from 1 species